UACAGAGGGUGCGAGCGUUGUUCGGAAUUAUUGGGCGUAAAGGGCGCGUAGGCGGUGCGGUAAGUCACCUGUGAAAUCUCCUGGCUCAACUGGGAGCUUGCAGGCGAAACUGCCGUGCUGGAGUGUGGGAGAGGUGCGUGGAAUUCCUGGUGUAGCGGUGAAAUGCGUAGAUAUCAGGAGGAACACCUGUGGCGAAAGCGGCGCACUGGACCACAACUGACGCUGAGGCGCGAAAGCUAGGGGGAGCAAACAGG
rnacentral:rRNA from 1 species